CCAUCAGUCUCACUGACAACUCAGUCCAAAUCCCAGAGCAUGGAGUGGGUGUGGAGGCUUCUCUUCUUUCUGGCUGCUUCCCAAGGAACCCACUCCCAGGUCCAGCUGACGCAGUCUGGGGCUGAGCUGAAGAAGCCUGGAGAGACAGUGAAGGUCUCCUGCAAGGCUUCAGGCUACACCUUUACCAGCUAUGCAAUGUACUGGGUAAAGCAGGAGACAGGAAAAGGCUUGCAGAACAUAGGGUGGAUCAACACUGCAAAUGGCAAUACAGGCUAUGCUGAGGGCUUCAGAGGUAGGUUUGUCAUCUCCAUGGAAGCCUCUGUCAGCACCACAUAUCUGCAGAUCAGCAACCUGAAGUCUGAGGACACAGCCAUGUAUUACUGUGCAAGACACAGUGUGAAAACCACAUCCUGA